UACUAGAGUAGCACUCGCAUAUCAAUAAGCGGAGGAAAAGAAACUAACAAGGAUUCCCCUAGUAACGGCGAGUGAAGCGGGAAGAGCUCAAAUUUGAAAUCUUAAAGGGUUUCCCUUUACGAAUUGUAGUUUAAAGAAGUGUUUUCUGUUGAGGUUUUGGUAAAAGUUCUUUGGAAUAGGACAUCAUAGAGGGUGAGAAUCCCGUAUUUGACCUUUACUUUCAACUCUGUGAUACACUUUCAAAGAGUCGGAUUGUUUGGGAAUGCAGUCCAAAAUGGGUGGUAAAUUUCAUCUAAAGCUAAAUAUUGGCGAGAGACCGAUAGCGAACAAGUACCGUGAGGGAAAGAUGAAAAGAACUUUGAAAAGAGAGUUAAACAGUACGUGAAAUUGUCAAAAGGGAAGCGUUUGACACCAGUGUUGUUUUUCUGAAAAUCAAUUAAAGAACUGUUUAUGCUAAGUUGUUCAGACUUUAUCAGCUAAUCUGUUUAGUUUUGAGCUUUUCUUUAAUGCACUUUUCAGUUAACAAGUCAACAUCAAUUUCUUUUGCUGUAAAAAAGCUUGAGGAAGGUGGCUUGAGAUUCGUCUUAAGUGUUUAUAGCCUCUUGCCUAUGCAGUCGGAGAGAUUGAGGUCUGCAGCGUAGAUCCUUCGGGGCUAAAUGCAUUUGUGCUAAGUUAUAGCAUUUUAUAGACAACCUUGUUGACUAUGAUUUGUCUAUUGUAGCUUACUCGCUUAUGUUAUUUUACCUACGCUUAGGAUGUUGAUCUACAGAGCGAGAGU
rnacentral:rRNA from 1 species